UACGUAGGCAGCGAGCGUUGUUCGGAAUUACUGGGCGUAAAGAGUGUGUAGGCGGUGCUCUAAGUUCGGUGUGAAAUCCCCCGGCUCAACCGGGGAACGGGCGCCGAUACGACCGGCCUGGAGCGAGGUAGGGGGCGCCGGAACUCACGGUGGAGCGGUGAAAUGCGUUGAGAUCGUGAGGAACGCCCGUGGCGAAAGCGGGCGCCUGGACCUCCGCUGACGCUGAGACGCGAAAGCCAGGGGAGCGAACGGG
rnacentral:rRNA from 1 species